rnacentral:lncRNA from 1 species
CAUGGUUAUGUGACUUAGACAACCGCAUCUGUUUCCUCACGGUUCUGAAGAUCCCGAGAUGCUUGGUUUGAAUACUUACUGAGUAUGUCCCCUCCUGCUUGCUGGUGGCCAUCUCUACAGAGUAGACAAGAGGGCCGUGGAGUAAAGGUCAGCGGAAUUAAGAAAGCCACGGAAACAACCUGCUAACCUGAGCAAAGUUGCUGAGCAAGGAAGCCAAACAGAGGCUGCAGCAGCUCUUCAAGGGCGGCCAGUUUGCCAUCCGCUGGGGCUUUAUUCCGCUCGUGAUUUACCUGGGAUUCACAAGGGGGUGCAGAUCCUGGAAUGCCUGAACCAUCAGUUUUAAGCCUACUUUGGGGAUAAAGGACUGUUCGGUCAUCUGGAUCUGGGCGCAGUGCAACCUGGAAGGUGUAUGCUCCGACUGGAUGAGAAAGGAGACGUCGUUCCAACACAUCUGUGGCAGAGUGGAGUCUGUACUGACUUAUGAUAGACUA